rnacentral:rRNA from 1 species
GACGAACCGUCCAAACGUUAUUCGGAAUCACUGGGCUUACAGAGUUCGUAGGCGGUCUGGAAAGUUGGGUGUGAAAUCCCUCGGCCUAACCGAGGAACUGCGCUUGAAACUACCAGACUCGAGGGGGAUAGAGGAAAGCGGAACUGAUGGUGGAGCGGUGAAAUGCGUUGAUAUCAUCAGGAACACCGGUGGCGAAGGCGGCUUUCUGGGUCUUACCUGACGCUGAGGAACGAACGCGUGGGGAGCAAACAGG